rnacentral:rRNA from 1 species
UACAUGGGGUUCAAACGUUGCUCGGAAUUAUUGGGCGUAAAGCGCACGUAGGCGGUUCGUUAAGUCGGAUGUGAAAGCCCUCGGCUCAACUGAGGAAGUGCACCCGAAACUGGCGAGCUUGAGUACGAAAGAGGAUCGCGGAAUUCCCGGUGUAGAGGUGAAAUUCGUAGAUAUCGGGAGGAACACCGGUGGCGAAGGCGGCGAUCUGGGUCGAUACUGACGCUGAGACGCGAAAGCGUGGGGAGCGAACAGG